rnacentral:lncRNA from 1 species
AUCAGUCAUCCUGUAUUAAAGGACAACUUAGGUAAUUGCAUGGAAUGUGAUGAGACACGAUCAAUGAUUAAUGUUCUUAAAGAAGCGAUUGGUGUUGCAGAAAAUGAAAUAAAAACACGUGACGAAGUCAUAAAAAGUUUGAGUGAUCAACUCAGAUUGUCUUCUUAUGAAUCAAAACCAGAAA